rnacentral:rRNA from 1 species
GAUGAACGCUGGCGGCGUGCCUAAUACAUGCAAGUCGAGCGAACGGACGAGAAGCUUGCUUCUCUGAUGUUAGCGGCGGACGGGUGAGUAACACGUGGAUAACCUACCUAUAAGACUGGGAUAACUUCGGGAAACCGGAGCUAAUACCGGAUAAUAUUUUGAACCGCAUGGUUCAAAAGUGAAAGACGGUCUUGCUGUCACUUAUAGAUGGAUCCGCGCUGCAUUAGCUAGUUGGUAAGGUAACGGCUUACCAAGGCAACGAUGCAUAGCCGACCUGAGAGGGUGAUCGGCCACACUGGAACUGAGACACGGUCCAGACUCCUACGGGAGGCAGCAGUAGGGAAUCUUCCGCAAUGGGCGAAAACCUGACGGAGCAACGCCGCGUGAGUGAUGAAGGUCUUCGGAUCGUAAAACUCUGUUAUUAGGGAAGAACAUAUGUGUAAGUAACUGUGCACAUCUUGACGGUACCUAAUCAGAAAGCCACGGCUAACUACGUG